rnacentral:rRNA from 1 species
UUCCGGUUGAUCCCGCCGGACCCCACUGCUAUCGGGAUAGGACUAAGACAUGCUAGUCGUGUGCCUCAGCCAAAACGAGGCACGGCGCACAGCUCAGUAACACGUGGCUAACCUGCCCUUAGGACGAGAAUAACCCCGGGGAACUGGGGCUAAUGCUCGAUAGGUGAAGAACUCUGGAAUGAGUCUUCACUUAAAAGAGUCUGCGUUAUGCUCGUAGAUUUCGCUUAAGGAUGGGGCCGCGACCGAUCAGGUUGUUGGUGAGGUAAUGGCUCACCAAGCCUUUUACCGGUGCGGGCCGUGAGAGCGGGAGCCCGGAGAUGGGCACUGAGACAAGGGCCCAGGCCCUACGGGGCGCAGCAGUCGCGAAAACUUUGCAAUACACGAAAGUGUGACAGGGCUAUCCCGAGUGCCAUCCGCUGAGGAAGGCUUUUACCCAGUCUAGAACGCUGGGGGAAUAAGGAGAGGGCAAGUCUGGUGUCAGCCGCCGCGGUAAUACCAGCUCUCCGAGUGGUGUGGAUGUUUAUUGGGCCUAAAGCAUCCGUAGCUGGCUAAGUUAGUCCCCUGUUAAAUCCAACGAAUUAAUCGUUGGAUCGCGGGGGAUACUGCUUGGCUAGGGGACGAGAGAGGCAGACGGUAUUUCCGGGGUAGGGGUGAAAUCCUAUAAUCCCGGGAAGACCACCAGUGGCGAAGGCUGUCUGCUAGAACGCGCCCGACGGUGAGGGAUGAAAGCUGGGGGAGCGAACCGGAUUAGAUACCCGGGUAGUCCCAGCUGUAAACGAUGCAGGCUAGGUGUUUGGACGGCCACGUGCCGUUCUAGUGCCGCAGGGAAGCUGUUAAGCCUGCCGCCUGGGGAGUACGAUCGCAAGAUUGAAACUUAAAGGAAUUGGCGGGGGAGCACCACAAGGGGUGAAGCUUGCGGUUUAAUUGGAUUCAACGCCGGG